GUCCACGCCGUAAACGAUGUCGACUAGCCGUUGGGAGCCUUGAGCUCUUAGUGGCGCAGCUAACGCAUUAAGUCGACCGCCUGGGGAGUACGGCCGCAAGGUUAAAACUCAAAUGAAUUGACGGGGGCCCGCACAAGCGGUGGAGCAUGUGGUUUAAUUCGAAGCAACGCGAAGAACCUUACCAGGCCUUGACAUCCUAUGAACUUUCCAGAGAUGGAUUGGUGCCUUCGGGAGCAUAGAGACAGGUGCUGCAUGGCUGUCGU
rnacentral:rRNA from 1 species